rnacentral:rRNA from 1 species
UAGAGUUUGAUCCUGGCUCAUGAUGAACGCUGGCGGCGUGCCUAACACAUGCAAGUCGAGCGAUUCUCCUCGGAGAAGAGCGGCGGACGGGUGAGUAACGCGUGGGUAACCUGCCCUGUACACACGGAUAACAUACCGAUAGGUAUGCUAAUACGAGAUAAUAUGCUUUUAUCGCAUGGUAGAAGUAUCAAAGCCCCGGCGGUACAGGAUGGACCCGCGUCUGAUUAGCUAGUUGGUAAGGUAACGGCUUACCAAGGCGACGAUCAGUAGCCGACCUGAGAGGGUGAUCGGCCACAUUGGAACUGAGACACGGUCCAAACUCCUACGGGAGGCAGCAGUGGGGAAUAUUGCACAAUGGGCGAAAGCCUGAUGCAGCAACGCCGCGUGAGCGAUGAAGGCCUUCGGGUCGUAAAGCUCUGUCCUCAAGGAAGAUAAUGACGGUACUUGAGGAGGAAGCCCCGGCUAACUACGUGCCAGCAGCCGCGGUAAUACGUAGGGGGCUAGCGUUAUCCGGAAUUACUGGGCGUAAAGGGUGCGUAGGUGGUUUCUUAAGUCAGAGGUGAAAGGCUAC